rnacentral:rRNA from 1 species
GACGUAGGUGGCGAACGUUAUCCGGAUUUAUUGGGCGUAAAGAGCUCGUAGGCGGUUUGUCGCGUCUGCUGUGAAAACUGGAGGCUCAACCUCCAGCCUGCAGUGGGUACGGGCAGACUAGAGUGCGGUAGGGGAGAUUGGAAUUCCUGGUGUAGCGGUGGAAUGCGCAGAUAUCAGGAGGAACACCGAUGGCGAAGGCAGAUCUCUGGGCCGUAACUGACGCUGAGGAGCGAAAGCGUGGGGAGCGAACAGG